AAACCCAGUCAAGCUGCCAGUAGGAUAGCCUCCCAGAUCUAGCUGGACGGCUGCCUCCUCCUCCUUCCCCAAUUCGGGAAAGAUGACAUGAAGAUCAGUUUGUGUAAACGUGUUGCCCCCUCUCUCUCUCUCUCUCUUCGUGUCCAGUUCUUGUUGCGUCUGCUUUGUACUGUUGCAGCGGUGGUCGACGGCGGGAUGGGCGGAUGAGGGGCCUGGCUGCUAGAUGGUGUGGCUGACAGAAGAGAGUGAGCACGCAUCGGCCAGACUGCAUCUAUAUACGGCUGCCCCAAAGCGACGGAUCGAUGGAUGCCUAGCCUAGGCCUAGGCGCAGCUGCUGUUGCGUGCUCACUUCUCUUUCUGUCAGCUCUCUCUCUCAUCCUUGGGACUUGUUCCGCCGUAUACAUCCAUCACCGCCGUCCCACUUCCGUCCAUCGCUGCGCGCCGAUGAUGCGUCGCCGUCGUCGUGCAGUGCAGGCUGUGCAGCCUCACAUCGGUCGCCGUGGUGGCACUGUUUGCUCUGAGGCGCCUGCCGGCCUGGUCGUGUCCCUACCUGAAACCUUAUCUUGUGCCCUGCUCGGAUUACGAUGAGCUCUGCUAGCUCUUUGGAAUAAG